rnacentral:rRNA from 1 species
GAGUUUGAUCGUGGCUCAGGAUGAACGCUGGCGGCGUGCUUAACACAUGCAAGUCGAACGGAGAUCAUUUUAAUGAGGCUUCGGCGGAUUUGAUCUGAUCUUAGUGGCGGACGGGUGAGUAACGCGUGGGUAACCUGCCUUAUACAGGGGGAUAACAGCCGGAAACGGCUGCUAAUACCGCAUAAGCGCACAGAGGCGCAUGCUUCAGUGUGAAAAACUCCGGUGGUAUAAGAUGGACCCCGCGUUGGAUUAGCUAGUUGGCAGGGCAGCGGCCUACCAAGGCGACGAUCCAUAGCCGGCCUGAGAGGG